GACGAACGCUGGCGGCGUGCUUAACACAUGCAAGUCGAACGGAAAGGCCCUGCUUUUGCGGGGUGCUCGAGUGGCGAACGGGUGAGUAACACGUGAGUAACCUGCCCUUGACUUUGGGAUAACUUCAGGAAACUGGGGCUAAUACCGGAUAGGAGCUCCUGCUGCAUGGUGGGGGUUGGAAAGUUUCGGCGGUUGGGGAUGGACUCGCGGCUUAUCAGCUUGUUGGUGGGGUAGUGGCUUACCAAGGCUAUGACGGGUAGCCGGCCUGGGAGGGUGACCGGCCACAUUGGGCCUGAGGUACGGCCCAGACUCCUACGUGAGGCAGCGGUGGGAAAUAUUGCACAAUGGGCGGAAGCCUGAUGCAGCGACGCCGCGUGCGGGAUGACGGCCUUCGGGUUGUAAACCGCUUUCGCCUGUAACGAAGCCUGAGUGACGGUAAUGGGUAAGAAAGCACCGGCUAACUACGUG
rnacentral:rRNA from 1 species